AGCCAUGCAUGUCUCAGUGCAAGCCGAAUUAAGGUGAACCGCGAAUGGCUCAUUAAAUCAGUUAUGGUUCCUUAGAUGGUGCACAGUUACUUGGAUAACUGUGGUAAUUCUAGAGCUAAUACAUGCAACUCGGUCCCGACCGGCGACGGAAGGGACGCUUUUAUUAGAUCAAAACCAAUCGGUCUUCGGGCCGUUUGCCUUGGUGACUCUGAAUAAAUUGUGGCAGAUCGCACGGCCCCCGAGCCGGCGACGCAUCUUUCAAAUGUCUGCCUUAUCAACUGUCGAUGGUAGGUUCUGCGCCUACCAUGGUUGUAACGGGUAACGGGGAAUCAGGGUUCGAUUCCGGAGAGGGAGCCUGAGAAACGGCUACCACAUCCAAGGAAGGCAGCAGGCGCGCAAAUUACCCACUCCCGGCACGGGGAGGUAGUGACGAAAAAUAACGAUACGGGACUCAUCCGAGGCCCCGUAAUCGGAAUGAGUACACUUUAAAUCCUUUAACGAGUAUCCAUUGGAGGGCAAGUCUGGUGCCAGCAGCCGCGGUAAUUCCAGCUCCAAUAGCGUAUAUUAAAGUUGUUGCGGUUAAAAAGCUCGUAGUCGGACUUGUGUCCCACGCUGCCGGUUCACCGCCCGUCGGUGUCUAACUGGCAUGCACGUGCGGACGUCCUGCCGGUGGCCCGAGCCGGCGCGGGUCUCGCACCCGUCGUCCGGGGAAGGCCUAUCAUACCCGUCGCGGUGCUCUUAACCGAGUGUCUCGAUGGGCCGGCACGUUUACUUUGAACAAAUUAGAGUGCUUAAAGCAGGCAGCAUCCGCCUGAAUACCGAGUGCAUGGAAUAAUGGAAUAGGACCUCGGUUCUAUUUUGUUGGUUUUCGGAAUCCCCGAGGUAAUGAUCAAUAGGACAGACGGGGGCAUUCGUAUUGCGACGUUGAAGGUGAAAUUCUUGGAUCGUCGCAGGACGGACCGAAGCGAAAGCAUUUGCCAAGAAUGUUUUCUCUGAUCAAGAACGAAAGUUAGAGGGUCGAAGGCGAUCACAUACCGCCCUAAUUCUAACCAUAAACAAUGCCAGCCAGCAAUCCGCCAAAUUUCCUCCGAUGACUCCGCGGGCGGCUUCCGGGAAACCAAGCCUUUUGGGUUCCGGGGGAAGUAUGGUUGCAAAGCUGA
rnacentral:rRNA from 1 species